rnacentral:rRNA from 1 species
AACGUAGGACGCAAGCGUUAUCCGGAGUUACUGGGCGUAAAGCGCGAGCAGGCGGCUUCUUAAGUCUGAUGUGAAAGCGCCCGGCUCAACCGGGCGAGGCCAUUGGAAACUAGGGAGCUGGAGGGCAGUAGAGGCAGGCGGAAUUCCAGGUGUAGCGGUGAAAUGCGUAGAUAUCUGGAGGAACACCGGUGGCGAAGGCGGAUCGUCUGGGCCUGUCCUGACGCUGAGGCGCGAAAGCUAGGGGAGCGAACAGG